rnacentral:rRNA from 1 species
AUUGAACGCUGGCGGCAUGCCUAACACAUGCAAGUCGAACGAGCGGCGGACGUGUGAGUAAUGUAUGGGAACCUUCCUGAUGGAUGGGGAUAACUACUGGAAACGGUAGCUAAUACCGCAUACCAUCGGAUGUGCCCAGAUGGGAUUAGCUAGUAGGUGGGGUAAAGGCUCACCUAGGCGACGAUCCCUAGCUGGUCUGAGAGGAUGACCAGCCACACUGGGACUGAGACAAGGCCCAGACUCCUACGGGAGGCAGCAGUGGGGAAUAUUGCACAAUGGGCGCAAGCCUGAUGCAGCCAUGCCGCGUGUGUGAAGAAGGCCUUAGGGUUGUAAAGCACUUUCAGCGAGGAGGCGUUACCCGCAGAAGAAGCACCGGCUAACUCCGUGCCAGCAGCCGCGGUAAUUC